GAUGAAGAACGUAGCGAAAUGCGAUAAGUAAUGUGAAUUGCAGAAUUCAGUGAAUCAUCGAAUCUUUGAACGCACAUUGCGCCCCUUGGUAUUCCGAGGGGCAAGCCUGUUCGAGCGUCAUUAUCACCCCUCAAGCUUUGCUUGGUGUUGGGGCCUGCUGUAAUAGGCAGCCCUUAAAAUCAGUGGCGGUGCUUCAAGGCUCUAAGCGUAGUAAUUCUCCUCGCUAUAGUGUCUAGUGGUUGCCAGCCAGAACCCCCCAAUUUUCAUGAUUGACCUCGGAUCAGGUAGGGAUACCCGCUGAACUUAAGCAUAUCAAUAAGCGGAGGA
rnacentral:misc_RNA from 1 species